rnacentral:rRNA from 1 species
ACAUGCGGAAGGAUCAUUGUCGUGACCCUGACCAAAAUAGACCGUGAACAUGUUAUCCAUCCCUCCGGUUUGAUUGGUCUUGCACCUUUCUAUCGGAACAGGGUGUCAACCCUCUUACCAGGGGAGGUGCCCUAAAAGAACCCACGGCGUCGUAUGGCGUCAAGGAACACUGAUGCUGUCAUGCACAUGUGUUGACCGGCUUGCCGGAGCCAACCUCGUGCAUUGAUUAUCUGAUAAUCCACAUGACUCUCGGCAACGGAUAUCUUGGCUCUCGCAUCGAUGAAGAACGUAGCAAAAUGCGAUACCUGGUGUGAAUUGCAGAAUCCCGUGAACCAUCGAGUUUUUGAACGCAAGUUGCGCCCGAGGCCUUAUGGUCGAGGGCACGUCUGCCUGGGCGUCACGCCAAAAGACACUCCCCAAUCCAACAUGGUGAGGAUGAGGAUGUGGUAUUUGGCUCCCCGUCGUGCUUCUAUGUGCGGAGGGCCUAAGUUGGGGCUGCUGGCGGUGCCGAUCAAAGCACAUGGUGGAUGGCGAAAGUUGUUCUCAGUGCUAUGGUUUGGACUGCAUUUGUGGAUGCCCUUAGCACCCAUGUACCGAAGCGGACAUUGCUCGGACCGCGACCCCAGGUCAGUCGGGACUACCCGCCGAAUUUAAGCAUAUCAAUAAGCGG